UCCUGUCUGAAUAUGGGGGGCCCAUCCUCCAAGGCUAAAUACUCCUGACUGACCGAUAGUGAACCAGUACCGUGAGGGAAAGGCGAAAAGAACCCCGGCGAGGGGAGUGAAAAAGAACCUGAAACCGUGUACGUACAAGCAGUGGGAGCACGCUUAGGCGUGUGACUGCGUACCUUUUGUAUAAUGGGUCAGCGACUUAUAUUCUGUAGCAAGGUUAACCGAAUAGGGGAGCCGAAGGGAAACCGAGUCUUAACUGGGCGUUAAGUUGCAGGGUAUAGACCCGAAACCCGGUGAUCUAGCCAUGGGCAGGUUGAAGGUUGGGUAACACUAACUGGAGGACCGAACCGACUAAUGUUGAAAAAUUAGCGGAUGACUUGUGGCUGGGGGUGAAAGGCCAAUCAAACCGGGAGAUAGCUGGUUCUCCCCGAAAGCUAUUUAGGUAGCGCCUCGUGAAUUCAUCUCCGGGGGUAGAGCACUGUUUCGGCA
rnacentral:rRNA from 1 species